CUCAUCCUCAGGGGCUAUUCUGAAAUAAUUAUUUUUUCUGUGUGGGUGGGUACAUUAAAAUACGUCUCUUACAGAUGGGCAGAUGGAGUGCUGGCUGUGCACAUCGGCUUCACCCAAACCAGUCUGUGGUCACUCAUGCCAGGGACCUGCUGCAGGCCUUCUCACCUUUGGGGAGCUUAUGGUGUCCUUUGAAUCUUCGAACAUUCUUCAGGACUGAUAUUUAUGCCUGCUGGAGCCUGAGGAGCUGUUGGGUUGUUUAACAUCCCUACCCUUGGCUGGGUCAUGCUGCACAAUCGCUCAGGUUCCCUCUGUAAAACCUUCAGAUUGUUCUGCCAAACAAAUACAGUCUUUGGGAGGAAGAGAAGAAAGAGGAGGAAGCAAGUUGGGGCUGAGGGAAGCUCCUUACCAGAGCUGGGCACAAAGGGGAGCUCUGCAGAGUGGAGUGGCUGG
rnacentral:lncRNA from 1 species